GUAAGGAAUAUUGGACAAUGCCCGCAAGGGUGAUCCAGCCAUGCCGCGUGCAGGAAGAAGGCCCUAUGGGUCGUAAACUGCUUUUACACCGGAGAAAACCCCCUUUCGUGAAAGGGGCUGAUAGUAUGGUGAGAAUAAGCAUCGGCUAACUUCGUGCCAGCAGCCGCGGUAAGACGAAGGAUGCAAGCGUUAUCCGGAUUCAUUGGGUUUAAAGGGAGCGUAGGUGGACUGAUAAGUCAGUGGUGAAAUCUUUGGGCUUAACCCAAAAAUUGCCAUUGAUACUGUUGGUCUUGAGUACAGUUGCUGUGGGCGGAAUAUGACAUGUAGUGGUGAAAUACAUAGAGAUGUCAUAGAACACCGAUUGCGAAGGCAGCUCACAAAGCUGUAACUGACACUGAGGCUCGAAAGUGCGGGGAUCAAACAGGAUUAGAUACCCGUGUAGUCC
rnacentral:rRNA from 1 species